CUGGUCUUGGGACACUGUCAGGUGGGCAGUUUGACUGGGGCGGUCGCCUCCCAAAAGGUAACGGAGGCGCGCAAAGGUUCUCUCAGUACGGUCGGAAAUCGUACGUAGAGUGUAAAGGCAAAAGAGAGCUUGAUUGCAAGACAUACAGGUCGAGCAAGGAUGAAAAUCGGACUUAGUGAUCCGGUGGUUCUGCGUGGAAGGGCCAUCGCUCAACGGAUAAAAGCUACCCGGGGGAUAACAGGCUUAUCUCCCCCAAGAGUCCACAUCGACGGGGAGGUUUGGCACCUCGAUGUCGGCUCAUCACAUCCUGGGGCUGUAGUAGGUCCCAAGGGUUGGGCUGUUCGCCCAUUAAAGUGGUACGCGAGCUGGGUUCAGAACGUCGUG
rnacentral:rRNA from 1 species